CUUAAGAGUCCAGAGCAGGUGCUUGCACCCACCCCGGAGGGAGCCUAAUCCAGGCCUUGGGGGGGGCGGCGGCCUCGGGUCAACGAACAGAUUCAUUCAUUCAGAAGGCUUCAUGUCAGAGGGUUCAACUUCAUGACGACUGUACAAGACUGCUGUUUUUAUCUUAGGAGGUCCCUGGGAAGGCGCUAUAAGAAAUGGGAAAAAUCUACGUGGCUUGCUUGUCAAGCGGGAUGCUGCGGUACCAAGAUCAAACUGCCUCUGUUAAUGUGCCUUUAUAAAAU